rnacentral:rRNA from 1 species
GACGAACCGUACGAACGUUAUUCGGAAUCACUGGGCUUAAAGGGUGCGUAGGCUGCGCAGCAAGUUGGGUGUGAAAUCCCUCGGCUUAACCGAGGAACUGCGCCCAAAACUGCUGUGCUCGAGGGAGAUAGAGGUGAGCGGAACUUAGGGUGGAGCGGUGAAAUGCGUUGGUAUCCUAAGGAACACCGGUGGCGAAAGCGGCUCACUGGAUCUCUUCUGACGCUGAGGCACGAAAGCUAGGGUAGCGAACGGG